AGUGAACGCUGGCGGUAGGCCUAACACAUGCAAGUCGAACGGCAGCACAGUAAGAGCUUGCCCUUACGGGUGGCGAGUGGCGGACGGGUGAGGAAUACAUCGGAAUCUACUUUUUCGUGGGGGAUAACGUAGGGAAACUUACGCUAAUACCGCAUACGACCUACGGGUGAAAGCAGGGGAUCUUCGGACCUUGCGCGAUUGAAUGAGCCGAUGUCGGAUUAGCUAGUUGGCGGGGUAAAGGCCCACCAAGGCGACGAUCCGUAGCUGGUCUGAGAGGAUGAUCAGCCACACUGGAACUGAGACACGGUCCAGACUCCUACGGGAGGCAGCAGUGGGGAAUAUUGGACAAUGGGCGCAAGCCUGAUCCAGCCAUACUGCGUGGGUGAAGAAGGCCUUCGGGUUGUAAAGCCCUUUUGUUGGGAAAGAAAAGCAGCAGGUUAAUACCCCGCUGUUCUGACGGUACCCAAAGAAUAAGCACCGGCUAACUUCGUG
rnacentral:rRNA from 1 species